GUGUAUAGCCAUGCCACCCUGAACAAGCCCGAUCCCGUCUGAUCUCAGAAGCUAAGCAGGGUAGGGCUUGGUUAGUACUUGGAUGGGAGACCACCUAGGAAGACCAGGUGCUGUAGGCG
rnacentral:rRNA from 1 species